rnacentral:tRNA from 2 species
GCGGGCAUCGUAUAAUGGCUAUUACCUCAGCCUUCCAAGCUGAUGAUGCGGGUUCGAUUCUCGCUGCCCGCUCCA